rnacentral:rRNA from 1 species
UGGGGAAUAUUGGGCAAUGGGCGAAAGCCUGACCCAGCCAUGCCGCGUGAGUGAUGAAGGCCUUCGGGUCGUAAAGCUCUGUGGGGAGGGACGAAAAGACCUUGGCUAAAAUCCAAGGGAACUGACGGUACCUCCUUAGCAAGCACCGGCUAACUCCGUGCCAGCAGCCGCGGUAAUACGGAGGGUGCAAACGUUGCUCGGAAUCAUUGGGCGUAAAGCGCACGUAGGCGGCGCGUUAAGUCGGGUGUGAAAGCCCUGGGCUCAACCCAGGAAGUGCAUUCGAAACUGGCGCGCUUGAAUAUGGAAGAGGGUCGCGGAAUUCCCGGUGUAGAGGUGAAAUUCGUAGAUAUCGGGAGGAACACCAGUGGCGAAGGCGGCGACCUGGGCCAAUAUUGACGCUGAGGUGCGAAAGCGUGGGGAGCAAACAGG